UGUAGCAUAUCAUGUAAUGUAGUGUUACGUGUUGCAUCAUGUAAAAUAGAAUUCAAACAUCUACUUAUGUAGGAGUAUUAACUCGUUGUACAUCUAAUGUCCGAUUGUGUAUGCUUCCCUUGAAACUACGUGAUGAAGCAGGGUAGCAGACCCAAUCACCAUUGAAAAAGUGCAUUACACGAGCUAUUUUCUGAAAGGCAAGCACACUAGUUAAAUGAAUCACGUGAUGCAUGGAUGAGAUGCCCCGCGCGUUUCGGCCAUGGGAUGAAACUCGUCCGAAUCUCCACGAGCCGCUGCACAUGAGCAACUCCGUGCACACGCCUUUUAAAAAAGUCCCGGUACUUUUUGUAAAUUGAACCCAUAAUUCUAUUAUAAGUCAACCCGAACCGGUAUUGACGAGAAAAAAAAGGAAAUAACCCCCGCACCCGCAGCGACACACGACUGCUCCUCCCAGUGACAGAUGUGCUCCUCUCCUCCACCUACGACCGCGGCUCCGGUGAUCCAUGACCGCCGCUCCCUGUAUCGUGCAUCUCCUAACCCUAGCCGCACCCUCCCCGGAGACAUCCCCGACCUCGCCUGCGUGAUCUUCGUAGAGGCCAACACUGUCCUCGGCGUCAUACGCCGCAGGUUCCGCCGCCCGCGACUAUUGACGACGCCGCUGGGGCCGAGCACUCGCGUCGUUGCCCCUCAAGGCCCUUCGCCGCGUCGCCUUAUCCCCCACUGCGCCCCCUGCCUUUAGUCCCGUCCGCCAUGCUGCGACCCCACCUUGACGCCAUUGAUGCUACUGCUGAGGAGGCCCUCUUGAUCUGCCCCGCGGCCUUGAGCUCCUUGCCGCCCACGCGCUGGAAGACCAGCACAUCUGGUCCACCACCGCCACACGUUCUUCCGUGUAGUACUGCUUUCAAUGUCUUGCGAUGCUGGUGUCCGAUCUCAAACGACAACAGCAGCAGGGGCUCCUGUUUCAAGGGUAAGACAUGCCACUGGGAGCAGGUAAUUUGAUUGGAGAUUCAGACAAUAAUGAGCCAGAGAUAUCUGACUAUGGUAUUGUUGUAUUGCAAGGCAUGAACUCAUACAUUAGGAUAUAUUUCCCAUCAACAGUUUGGUUAAUGGAAAUGUUUACUUAAUGCUAAGACUGAAUGCUAAGUAUGGUUAAGAGACAAGCUUAUCUGGUUCUGAUCCAUACUUCCUUCACCUUGUGCAGGCAUUUUAUCAAGGACCAUUUUGUUGCAUACGAAAUGAGAACAAUUUGGUAUUAUAGGAGGGUUGGGGAUGCAUCAUCAUUAUGUUUGGUAUGUCAUAUUCUCGACCUCCUCUUCUCAUGAUUCAUGUGACUUAUUGAUAGCUUGAUAUGUUCCGGUAAAUUCUCAUUGCAGUAGAAAGUAGAAGCUCAAUGAUAAAAAUGAAUCCCGGAUUUUUAUAUAUAUGGAGUUCUGCAAAUUUAUAUAUGCUCGGAAAUAGACAAUGAGCAAGCCGAAUAACGAAGCGAGAUGAGGUGAGAGAGUAGCUUAAGGCCGGUGCAUCAUCGUCGCGGAUGAGCCAGUCAAGGCUGUGGCGCUUGGUGGAUAGAGGUCGAGGCCAGCCUCGGGGGAGAGGAACGGAGCCCCGCGGGUGCAGUUGGAACAAACGGGGGGCCGUUGGGACGCCCGUGCGGUAGUAUUCGCCGUUGCUUCGGGGAAGAGGAACAUAGUCGUGGGCGGCUGGAACACGGGCUCACAGGAGAAAAUGGAGGAGUGGCGCUGGGUGGUGGGUAAGGUCACAUGAGAAAGAAGAUGGAGCAGAGCGCUGGCUGGAUGUGUGGAGAAGAUAAGAACUGAGUGAUGGGGAAGGAAUUCUUGGUGGGAUUGAAUGCUUGUUGCUACUGCUUUUUUCUAAACGACGCGAUGUGGCUGCUGCUAGAUGUCGAUCUCUGCUAGCAUACAAUUUACUUGGCUGCUGUUUAAGCCUACCAUAUCUUAAUUACGAAUACAUUAGUAGUUACAGUACUUAAAAUAUGUGUGACUGAAAUAUUGGAAGGAUUUGUUCAAAAAUAUAUUGGAAAGAAAUAUUAUUUCUUAAGGGAAAAGAUAUCUGGGGCUCACCUAUGGACUACCUGAUCAUCAAUAUAUUCCUUGAGUCUAGAUGUUGCUGAUGCCGUUGGUGAGAUAGAGAGGAGGGAGGGACGAAGAGUUGUUCAGGUCGAACCCCUCCACGAGCUUUCAGGCGAGCGAGCAACUUUCACUUCAUCGAAGCAGACGUCCAGAAGUUCGACUGCUUGGGCAGAAGCUUUGCUGGAUUGACAUGCAUAUGCAUUUUCAUCGUCUCUUAAUGCAGGCCAUGAAAAUAGAUAGCCAAUGAAACUACGAUUGCACGAAUCCAUGAAGCAAGCAAUAAUCUAUCUCAAAAAUUUGUGUCCAAGCAUAUAACGGUUCAACAACUUUCGAGUUCUGAUUAUGGCUAUGUAGCACGCUGACAAGACAAGAGAAUAAUGCUUCUAAGAUGUAGGCAUUUGUCUGAGCUAUGCCGCCUCCGAUCAAACUCGAGGUGGACGCACAGUCUGCACUCGAGCAUAGCUGUCGGCCAUCAGCUCGCUCGAGCAAACACGCUGGCCGUCCGUGCACGAUGUCCUCCCAGACGUCGACAUGUUAUUCUCGCAUGCAACGCUAAGCUAUCUCCAUGGGCAAAAUUUUCUGUCUGAGCUCCUCCCUAGUCCCUACCAUGGCAAAACCAAAUGCUACCAUCUCCUUAUUUUGGCAUGCUAAAACUUAUGUCAGUUCAUUGUCAUGGAUAGAUUAGUGAGAAUGCGAUUAGGAUUUCUAUAGUAGAGAGGAUGAGGAAUAUGUGCUACAGUAUGUUGUUCAGGUGUGGUUCUUGGACCUGCUGAUGUUCAAAUUACAGCUCCCUUAUUUAGUACUACUAGGCAUUUCCAUUAACACUGACGAUACUUGGAGCAUUUCCAGCAAUGGCAGUAGACACAUGUGGCACCACUUCUUGGUUGA